CCUACGGGAGGCAGCAGUGGGGAAUUUUGGACAAUGGGCGAAAGCCUGAUCCAGCAAUGCCGCGUGCAGGAAGAAGGCCUUCGGGUUGUAAACUGCUUUUGUACGGAACGAAACGGUCUGCUUUAAUACAGUGGGCUAAUGACGGUACCGUAAGAAUAAGCACCGGCUAACUACGUGCCAGCAGCCGCGGUAAUACGUAGGGUGCGAGCGUUAAUCGGAAUUACUGGGCGUAAAGCGUGCGCAGGCGGUUAUAUAAGACAGUUGUGAAAUCCCCGGGCUCAACCUGGGAAUUGCAUCUGUGACUGUAUAGCUAGAGUACGGUAGAGGGGGAUGGAAUUCCGCGUGUAGCAGUGAAAUGCGUAGAUAUGCGGAGGAACACCGAUGGCGAAGGCAAUCCCCUGGACCUGUACUGACGCUCAUGCACGAAAGCGUGGGGAGCAAACAGGAUUAGAUACCCUGGUAGUCCACGCCCUAAACGAUGUACACUGUUGUGGUGNAUAUAUCAGUAACGAGACUACGCGNGAGUGACGCGNGGAGGACGGCGCGUAGUAGUUAACGUUACUAAGUUAGUUAGUAGACGGCGNGAGAGNGCGACGGACGACGACGAGGGAGGAGG
rnacentral:rRNA from 1 species